ACUUUUGCAGAGAAUUUUGGUUUCAUUCAGUACGUGCUGAAUGAAUUAAAAGGGAAUCUAGUUAAAAUCUAGGACUGUUCCCGCAACUGUAAGUUUUUAUCGAAAUAUUUUCGGUACUUCUUUAGAAGGUGUUAUUAACUUCAAAACCACUGGUAUUAACUGGGAAGGUAAGAUAACAUAAAAUAAGUCAGGAGACCUGCCAUUUUCAUCAUCUAAAA
rnacentral:ncRNA from 1 species